CCCGUCAGUGAUGAAGAGGUUGUUGCUCAUAUUCUCAAUGGCCUCGAUUUUGAUUAUCAUCCUUUUGUGUCGUCGAUGCUUGGCUGUGGUGAUCUGAUUUUGCUCUCGGAUCUCUACUCUCAUUUGAUCGAGUAUGAUC
rfam:Setaria italica strain Yugu1 chromosome IV, whole genome shotgun sequence.